rnacentral:rRNA from 1 species
UACGGAGGGUGCAAGCGUUAUCCGGAUUCACUGGGUUUAAAGGGUCUGUAGGCGGUUUUGUAAGUCAGUGGUGAAAGCCCAUCGCUCAACGGUGGAACGGCCAUUGAUACUGCAAGACUUGAAUUAUUAGGAAGUAACUAGAAUAUGUAGUGUAGCGGUGAAAUGCUUAGAGAUUACAUGGAAUACCAAUUGCGAAGGCAGGUUACUACUAAUGGAUUGACGCUGAUGGACGAAAGCGUGGGGAGCGAACAGG